ACUUCAAGUAAAUACUGUCCUCCCCAUACAAUGCAGAGGCAUCUAGAAGCAAUUUCCCAUCUGGAAAAACCCACUUACUCCUUGAAAGAUGGUGAAGAUGAAGGGAUAUGAGGGUGAAGCUUCUUCAGUUUUGUAGUCCCUUUCAGCUGGUGCUGAUGUACCCCAGACAAACUCAGCAUCACAUGGUGGGAGGCAAAGUCCAAGACAGACGCUAAGUUUUAGACGCAGAUCCCAUGUCCCCUUCUAGAGUUCCUUUCUUGUGGUGUGCUAAGUGCAAGGGGCUUGCUCUGGUGAAAGACCUGGUCAUGUGCACAAACACACUUCAUCACAUAUGUGCAUGUCAAACACUUUAUGAAGG